GCCUGGGUGGCUCAGUCGGCUGAGUGUCUGACUUCGGCUCAGGUCAUGAUCUCGCACGAGUUCGAGCCCUGUGUCGGGCU
rnacentral:tRNA from 1 species